AGCAGCCGCGGUAAUUCCAGCUCCAAUAGCGUAUAUUAAAGUUGUUGCAGUUAAAAAGCUCGUAGUUGAAUUUUGGAUUCUGCCAAUUGGUCCAUCUUUUAGAUGAGUACUGGUUGUGUGGGGUCUAUCCGCCUGGUGAUACGUAAUGUCCUUUAUUGGAUGUUGCGGGUAGUCAGGACCUUUACCUUGAAAAAAUUAGAGUGUUUAAAGCAGGCUUAUGCCGGAAUACAUUAGCAUGGAAUAAUAGAAUAGGACGAAGUUGUUUUAUUUUGUUGGUUUCUAGGACAACCGUAAUGAUUAGUAGGGAUAGUUGGGGGCAUUAGUAUUCAAUUGUCAGAGGUGAAAUUCUUGGAUUUAUUGAAGACUAACUACUGCGAAAGCAUUUGCCAAGGAUGUUUUCAUUAAUCAAGAACGAAAGUUAGGGGAUCGAAGACGAUCAGAUACCGUCGUAGUCUUAACCAUAAACUAUGCCGACUAGGGAUCGGGCGAUGUUGUUUUCCAUGACUCGCUCGGCACCUUA
rnacentral:rRNA from 1 species